rnacentral:rRNA from 1 species
UACGUAGGGGGCAAGCGUUGUCCGGAAUCAUUGGGCGUAAAGAGCGUGUAGGCGGUCCGGUAAGUCGGCUGUGAAAGUCCAGGGCUCAACCCUGGGAUGCCGGUCGAUACUGCCGGACUAGAGUUCGGAAGAGGCGAGUGGAAUUCCCGGUGUAGCGGUGAAAUGCGCAGAUAUCGGGAGGAACACCAAUGGCGAAGGCAGCUCGCUGGGACGUUACUGACGCUGAGACGGCGAAAGCGUGGGGAGCAAACAGGG